rnacentral:tRNA from 1 species
GCCUUGUUAGUUCAUCGGUAGAACUCGAAACUGUUAAUUUCGCUAGGGUGGUUCGAUUCCAUCACAAGGCG